GAUGAACGCUGGCGGCGUGCUUAACACAUGCAAGUCGAACGGAAAGGCCCAAGCUUGCUUGGGUACUCGAGUGGCGAACGGGUGAGUAACACGUGGGUGAUCUGCCCUGCACUUCGGGAUAAGCCUGGGAAACUGGGUCUAAUACUGGAUAGGACCACUUCUUGGAUGUUGUGGUGGAAAGUUUUUUCGGUGUGGGAUGAGCUCGCGGCCUAUCAGCUUGUUGGUGGGGUAAUGGCCUACCAAGGCGUCGACGGGUAGCCGGCCUGAGAGGGUGUACGGCCACAUUGGGACUGAGAUACGGCCCAGACUCCUACGGGAGGCAGCAGUGGGGAAGAUUGCACAAUGGGCGCAAGCCUGAUGCAGCGACGCCGCGUGGGGGAUGACGGCCUUCGGGUUGGAAACUCCUUUCGCUAGGGACGAAGCGUUUUGUGACGGUACCUGGAGAAGAAGCACCGGCUAACUACGUG
rnacentral:rRNA from 1 species